GCAGAUUCAUUUUGGCUAAAAAACAAAGAUCGCCUACCCCCAUCUCCCGGACGAGCAGCAGACAAACGAUCCUCAUUUCCAUGGCUGCCAUUCCAAAAUUCUAAGGAGGCCAUCUUCUUAAAAGCUUAAGUAGACCCACAAAACUCUUGCUUCUUUUUCAAAAUCGGUCGUCCAAUCCUUAAGAGAACUUGGUCCAAUUUUGAACUUCUACCUUAUCUUCACAAAAACACUACAAAUGAGAAUCUAAAUAAACACCAAAAAACCUUCAGCCACUACCUUCUUGGACAAAAAAAAACCAAAAUUGCAUCACUGCUCCUUCUUUUGUUUUAGUUGAAAUGCAGCUCCAAACAACCCUUUCGUGCAUAUUUUCGGAAGGUUUCGAGGUUGUCGGUGAGGUUCUGCUUAAGUACGCUAGUCGUGCCUUGGAUGUCGCUCUCUCGUCGGUCCAGGCGAUGAAAUUGGAUUUCAAGUUUCAGAGUUUGUUUUGUCCUUUUUCUCCAAUUGCAAAGAAAUCAAUAAAGGUUCAAUAUCUAUCUUCAAUCUCUGUUAUUGAUCUUAUUUGUGCGUCGAUUUCGUUGAAGAUUAUUUGUUGUAUUUGUUUUACCUAAAUCAUAUGUUGCUUAGAGGAUGAUCUGUUAAGUAAGGUUCUACUCUUUUGAGAUAGAAAUCUGAUUUCUAACUUUAAUUUCCAUAGUUACACAAGUAUCUAUUGUUUAAUAAAAUUUUAAGAAAAAAAAAAAGAAACAAGUGGGAGUAUUUUUUUUUUUGGUAAAAAAAAAAUGGGUAUAAACUGGUGUUUAAUUGUUAAUUCACUGACGGUGUGCAUUAAAAGGAAUCUGGUCUAGAUGUAAGUUGAUCCAUUUUUUGUGAUGGAGGGCAAAUAUCCGCAUGAUAUCUCGAGCAAUGUUGAACUUCUUAUUCCCAAUGGCUUCUGAUUCUGAAAGUUCUUAUUUAGAUGUAGUUUCUUAUUUAGAUGUAGAGAGCUUAGAUUGCAUUUUGUUAUUCCUACUUGAAGCUUUAUCCAAUAAAAAAAUAUUAAUCAAAUACUAUAAUUUUUUUAUAACUAUUUUUUCCAUAACUUAUGGCCCACACAUAAAUAAAAUUAGUAUAGAAAAUGCUUCGAACUUUUGUAAUUUGCUUUAGGCGUGAUUAAUAAAUAAAUCUUCGUGACCAUGAGUACGGUUCCCAUGGCAUAGUUGCGAUACAUAACUCCAAAUCCGGGGGUACAUUUCAUUUGGCCCGGUUUUAAUUUUCUAACAAGGUUAAAUAGAACGUAUCGUGAAUCACGGGUGCAUUUCAUGUAGCGUGUCUUGCGAUGUGUUUUAAAUAACCUUGAAAUAAUUCCUUAAACAAAUAAAAGCGGUUUUAAAGUUAAAAAUGCGCAUAGGUUUAAAAUUGUUCUAAAAUUAGAUAAUACGCCAAUUGUAAUAGUUUGAGCGACUGUGCUAGAAUCACGGAACUCGGGAAUGCCUAACACCUUCUCCGGGGUUAACAGAAUUCCUUACCCGGAUUUCUGUAUUCGCAAACCGUAAAUAGAGUCAACUUCCCCGAUUCGGAAUUUGAACCGGUGACUUGAGACGCCAUAAAUUUCCCAAGUGGCGACUCUGAAUCUUUUAAUAAAUAAAUCUCGUUUCGACUGUCCUUAAAUUGGAAAAACUCCCUUUAUACCCUUUUUCGGGGGUGUAGGUAAAGAGGAGGUGUGACAUAUCUUAAAGUGUUCAGAUCUGUAAUUACCUUAUUGUUUUGAGUUGUCUAUUUAACUGAAAGCAUGCCUACGUUUUUGUACGUUGUCGCUAUUAUAUUUUUUGAGGUUAAGUUCGUCACUGUCUUUCAGUCCAUUGUUUGGACUAGUUACUUACUGAGUUGGUGUACUCACGUUACUCCCUACAACUUGUGUGCAGAUCUAGGCACUUUUGGACCCAGUGGAAGCUGCUGAUCGAAGCUUCAGACUUAGGAGACUAUCGAGGUAUCUAUACGGUGUUCGCAGGCCUUAACUCUCCCUCUUUAUCUCUAGAUGUAUUUUAGUUUAUUUACUUUAAAUAUUGUAAUAGACUAUGUUCUCCUCUAGACGCUUAUGAACUCAGUGACACCCCGGUUUUGGGCAGUUGUAUCGAAUUUUGAAUUUUAUUUUAUUUUCAAAAAUGUUCCUUAAUGAAUUGCCUUUUCCGUGUCUAUUGUGUAAAAAAAAUUCUAUUGCGGUGUUGGAUUAUUGAGUUGAAGCUAGCCCAGUUCCACGAUCUGCACCAUCAUGACGGGUCGAGUUUUGGAUCGUGACAAUUUGGUAUCAGAGCCUAGGUUACAUAGGUCUCACGAUUCAUGAGCGGGUUUAGUAGAGUCUUGCGAUCGGUACGGAGAUGUCUGUACUUAUCUUCGAGAGGCUACAGAACCCUUAGGAAACUUUACAUUCUUGAAUUCUUGUCGUGCAAAUCUGUUGAUUCUGGUAACUAAACUUUUGUUAUUCUAUUCUCUCACAGAUGGUGAGGACAUGUGCUACCGUUUAGGGUGGACAACCACCAGUACCACCAGUUGGGGCCGCGAGAGGCCGUGAUAGGGGUAGGGGUGCAGCCCGCACAGCGGCUAGGGCAGCACUUAUAGAUCCACCAGUCGCCCCAGUGCAGGAUCAGGUUUCGGUGGUAGAUGCCUUAACUCAUAUUUUGACUGUGUGCACCAGUCUUGCUUAGGCAGUCUCUAUUCCAGCCGCAGCAGCUACUUCUCAGGUCGGGGAAGGUGUUUAGACUCUCGCCGCCUGCACACCAAAGCAGGUGGUGCAGGGACUUCAGACACCGGGGGCACCACCAGCCCAACCGGUUGCACCUGCUCAGGACUAUGUGGUUAAUGUUGUGCCUGAUGAUGAGCAGCGUAGAUUGGUGCGGUUUGGUAGACUUCAGCCUCCGGCUAUCAGUGGUGUAGAGGAUGAGGACGCCCAGGAUUUCUUGGAUAAGUAUCAGAGAUUCUCAGUACAACAGGUAUUAUGGAGACUAGUGGGGUCUCGUUCACUGUUUUUCAGUUCUCUGGAGCUGCCUUCAUUUGGUGGGAGGCUUAUGAGAGACGUAGGCCGGUUGGUGCAGUACCGCUUACAUGGCAACAGUUCUCCGUUCUCUUCCUAGAGAAGUAUGUGUCGCAGUCCCGCAGAGAGGAGCUAUGUAGGCAGUUUGAGCAGUUGAGACAAGAUGAUAUGACUGUGACACAGUAUGAGAUAAGAUUUUUGUAGUUAUCCCGUCAUGUUUUUUUGUUGGUUCCCACAUACAGAGAGAGGAUCAGGAGGUUCGUUGAUGCCAUCGCGUAUUAGCUGUGAAUUUUUAUGACUAGAAAGAGGGUGUCUGGUGCUUCUUUUGAGGAGGUUGUUGACAUUGCUCCGGAGAUUGAGUCUGUUCGUCGCCAGAAGUAGGUUGAGGGGGAGGCCAAGAGGCCUCGUGUAUCAGGUAGUUUUGGUAGAGUUCCUUCUGGAGGUUAGUUCACCACGGCAAAGGUCGUCUCUUUAGGCAUGCUUAGAUGGCUCGCCCAGUUCACCGUGGUGCUAUCGGAUUUAUGACAUUUGGGAGGACAACUCAUUCUCUUUUAGGAAUUGGGUUUGAAUUGAAGAGUCGUCAUCUCAUGAUUAAAGUACAUUAGGACACUAUAAAAGGGUUUGUUUUGGAUAACCAGAGAUUGGGUAAGGGCUUGAAAUUAUCCCAAGGGGAAGGUGUUAGGCACCCCUCAGGAUCUACUAGUGUGGUUCCCGUCCAGACUAUUGUUAUGAACUUGGGUUCAAAUAACACGUAAACAAAUAAAGCUUCAAAUGUGAGGGGAUUUUCACAUAAGGGUUUAUAAACAAAUAAAGUUGGAAAGAACUAAAAGAAAGCUAAUUUUUUUAAAAAUAAGAGUUUGAAAUCUUUAGAAGAAACAAAGAAACAAAGGGAAAGGGGAGUCCUAUGUUUAUUAAUAUAUGGAUCACCCCACACAACAUCUGGUAAUCACUCCUCAGUGAGGGGCUACACAUAAUGUUAUCGCGUGGUCAUCAUAUCCAUAUCUACCUUUUCCCACCCCAUUAAGGUAUUAAAGCGCGAAAUGGUCUCAUUUACUUAUUGCAUGCUAUUACCCGUCCCAAUCCUAUCAGUCCCAUAGGUAUUUAAGACUACUAAUCCUAAAAGGGAGGGAUAUUAGGCUUAUUUGUAAUUUCAAAAGCAGAAUUCUAAGGCGACAUACAAAACACGUAUAGCAAGUUGGGGGAGGCACAUAACAAGUAAAAGGCUCAGAUAUACCUCCUUUGACAGAGAAGCACAUAAUUUCGCUUGUCUUGCACAUACUGCUUAGGGUCUGAUUAAAACUUAUAGGUUGAGGCAGACUGAUUUAUUACAUAGUUCAGAUAAGAAGCCCGAAUCAGGCCUACCUGCUAGUUGUAGCUAAUAAAAUCUGAUUUAGUUUAUAAUUUUAGCCCUAAGGCUUGCCUAGGUGUUGGACGAUGAUCCUAUAGGCAUGACAUCUAUUGAUUUCAGAAACAAUGAAGUGAACUGAAUACAUACUGAUUUAAGAGAAGUUGUCAGUCGUUAAAAAAAAAAGCAAAUUUUUGCAAAAGUUUAUAGGUUCUGCAAAUGGUGUGUCAUUAUUACUGGUUUUAGACUUAUAAGUGAGUGAAGCGAUUCAUACUUGAGUAAUAACUCCUAUAGACAUGCUUUCUAUGCCUGUUGAUUUUAAACCCCUUUUAACAGACAUGGUAAAAUGAAGAAACCCUAUAAGCAUGAUAUCUAGAUGCUGAAUUUCAUUUAAAGCCUAUGAUUGAUAUCUAAUUGCAGUUGAUUGAUUAAGACCUAUAAACCUGAUUGCCUGAUGAAGAAUGGAUAUACAAGAUUCAGAAGGACCUAUAAGCAUAUUUCUAUACGCAUAAUUCAAAUUUCCUGGUACCCAUGAACAUUAUUUCUAUAUGAGAGAAUGCAGAAUUCCUAUAGACAUGGUAUCUAUGUGAGAAAUGCAGAAAUCGGGAAUAUCUAUAGGCAUGAUAUCUAUGUGAGAAAAGCAGAAAUCAGGAAUAUCUAUAGGCAUGAUAUCUAAGUGAGAAAUGCAGAAAUACCUAUAAGCAGGAUAUCUAUGUGAGAAUGCAAAAUUUCAGAAGUACCUAUAGGCAAGAUAUCUACCCUUUGCAUACUUAGUUACUCACCCUUUUUACUAACCAUCCCCAAGAGUUUAUUACAAAUUAUUACAGCCCAGAAUGAAGUAAAAGAAUACAUCAGAGAUUAAAAGGUACAACCAAGGAGAGCCUAAUUCAGACUUCAUGUCUAAAAUAUGAGGUAAACCAACUCUAAGAGAUCAUGAUCCAAAGCCUUUCUCCCAUUUGGAUAUGUCAAAGUUCCCUAAGAGCCUCAAAGGGGACUCCGGGCAAUGCUAACACCCAAAUGUGUUACCAGAUUUGGACGGGUGCAGUGUGGAAAGGCCAGCCCGCAAGUGUCCAAUCUCAGAGGGAAUUCAAGGUCCCAAGGCAAGGCUCACAAGAGGGGGGCAAAACUUAAAGACUAAGAGAGAGUGCAAGUGUAGAAACAGAACUCUGAGAAAGGGAAAAGGGAAUGGAAACAAUUACAAAUAAGUACACAUAGGGGUAUAGGGGAAUGAGAUUCAUAGCAGAAACAAAACAGAAAGAGAUCAGCAUGCUAAUUGAAAUAUUGAGCUCUACAAAAAUAGUAAGUAGUCAUAGAUACACAAACUAUAAAUAAACACAUUGUUGUGAUGCUUAAGCUUAAAUCAGGACAUACCAGUUUCAAAGAAACAAGUAGAGAAAAAUAGUAGGUCUUGUAAAUAGGCCACAGUGCAGACAAGAAGAGAGAAUAUUAUUGUGUAAGUGUGAGUCAAGAAGACUGUCAAUUGUGAUAGUGUGUUUGUUGAAAGAGUCAUGCAUUUAUAGUGUGAAAAUCAGGCGGAAAUAAGGUAAGAAAGCAGUUAAGGAACUGAAUAUCAAUUAAGAAUCAAUUACACAAGACUUCCUUUAAUCAAGGAAUUCAGAUUCAAACGGGUAAAAACUAUUUAAGGAAAGAAAUUAGCUAAGCACUUUGUGCAAAGUAGGCAAUUAGGGGUAAAUACAUAAGAGAGUUAUUUAAGGAUAGAAUUUGAAAUACGCGGUUGUACAAAUAAGGUAAUAAAAUCAAUUAGUAGCCAGUAAAUCAAAGGGUCUGAGAUUUUGCAAUUACUGGUCCAUGAAUGAACCGAGUCAGAAAAGAUGAGAAAAGUUUUUUUUUUAUCUUAAGUCGAAUCACAAGGAAAUCAGCAAACAAUGAAAAGAAAUCAAUCAGACCUGCUCAGAAGGAAGUCUGAAUUGGUCACAACUUUGAAAGACACUUUAGAGGGAAGUUCUUCAUAUAUAAAAAGCAUACAAACAUGUUGAGUUGAAAGAAGAUGUCAUGCCUUUGCAAAAAUCAGUAGGUAAUGGUUGUCACAUAAGUCAGUAAUGCAGAAGAGAAAUAGCAUCCAGUAGUAUACAAAAGGUCCAAUGCAAAAGGUCUUAGAAAAGUUUAGCAAAAAGUCAGAAUCAUAUGAAAACAAGGAUGUCCAAACUCAGUUCAGAGACUCGAAAUUGGUCUGAAAGAGUUAGGGGUUUUUUGAAAUAAAACUCUAGUUCAAGCAAAUCACAUAGCCAAACUUGGAAGAACCCCCAAAUUCUAGGGUUUCCACCAUUAAUCGAGUGCAAAGAUGAGAGGGCAAGUAGUUAAAUCGAAACAAAUUCAGAGGUCUCGGAAAAGAACUGAAACUUCUAACAUGUUUCUUUUAGCAACAAAAACUCAUGAGAAACAUGAUAGAAAAGUAACAUGCAGAACAUAAUAGAAGAGCUCAAAGAAAAUAGAGUCGAAGAAACUAAUUUGAAACAUAAUGGGAAAAUUGGUAAGAACAGUAGGAUAAGCACACAAGAACACAGUAGAGAAAAAUACAAUAGAAAAAGCAUACGAGAACACAGCAUAGGAAAAUACAGUAGAAGAAGUAUACAAGAACACCGUAAAGAAGCAUACAAGAAUACAGUAGAGGCAAAUACAUAUAAAAAGAAAAAGAAAGUCAGAGAAACAUUUAAAUACUUUCAGAAAAAACCCUAGGCCGGAAAAGAGAUGAUUUUGAAAGUAAUUUUUUGAAAGAAAAGUCAGGAAAAUCGUUUUACAAACUUAAGGAAAGCAUGGAUCUGGAACAGAUCUAAGAAGAUCAGAAAAAUCUCGAAGGGUUAGGGUUUCAGAAGAACCCCAGUAGUGAGAAAGGCUUGGAAAGGUCACUGAUCUGAGCCGGAGAAGUCAAAACUAGGCUCGAAGCAGGCAUGGCUCACCGGAGCAGGCCAAAGAUGGCCAUAGAUCUUGAAUCAAACGAAGCCUAGACCAAGCUUCUUCGUGGUCAGGCCUUAAAUCUUCAGAAAUCAGGCGUGUGGGAGUCAAAGGAGGUCGGUGUAGGACUCUGAUGUCCUUGGAAGCCAUGGAUUCUGGUAGUUUUAGGGUGGAAGUGGUGAGAGACGGCUAGGGUUUGAGAAACUUCGAGAGAGUUUGAGAGAAUGGGGGUUCAAAGGUGGCUACCGGUGACAAAAUAAUUAGGGUUGGGGGUGUUGGUAAAUUAAAAAGGAAAGGGAGAACGUUAGAUCAACGGCUGUGAUUUAAAGGGGGUCGGGUGGGUUAUUUUUAAAGGUCGGGGUCGGGUAAUUUUGGAAUUGGGCUGGGCAAUUGAAAUUGAAAUUGGGUUGGAUUAGGGGUGCCAAAUCUGGCCAAAAACGAAAUAAAACCAGGCUAACAUUUAAAUAGCCAUUUUCCCUUAUUUAUUUUAUAAAAAAUAGUAAAAUAAUUUCUGAAAACAAAUUAAAGGUACUAAAUUAAUUAAUAAUAUAUAAAUAAUAGACUAAAAAUACUUGAGCCAAUUUUGUAAUUAUAAACGCAAUUAAAUCUUAAAGUAGGUUAAUAUUGCAAUUAUAUGCAAUUUAGCUUUUUUGAAAUACUAAAUAAAUUUGUAAAAAUGUGCAAAAAUCAUACUAGCUAUAUUUUAAUAUUAAUAUGAGAAUUCAAUAAACGAAUUACCAAAAUGCCAACUUUGGGAACACUUAUUGGGUUUUUCUUGAUAAAAUAGUGCAAUAAAAUUGACUUUAAAAUCUUUAAAAAAUUGAGAAAAAUAAUAGGACUUAUAUAUGUAUAUACAUGCAAUUUUUUUCAUAUAAGAAUACAGAAAAAAUUGGGUAUCAACAGCUGCCCCUCUUUACCCGGAAAGGAUGAAAGAGUUGUCGGGUAAAGAUAUGAUGGUCAAUUUUGACCGAACUAAGGGGGUUUGAAAAGGUUUGUCCGCACCCUAGCUUCUGAGCUGCCUACAUAUCCCUGGUCUUAUAGGAAUCAGGUCACAUGUAGUUCAGGAUCCGUCGGCGAAAUAUGCCGAUGGAGACCUUUCAAGAACGGCCGCAAUAUUCAAGUUGGGAUGAAUGGUUAAGGUCUAAUAGGGCCGCGGGAACUGGAGCUGAAUCGCUCCUGCCGAGAUGGUCGUUGCUCGCCGGCUUACCUGCAAAUAAGCAAUACAAGCAUAUAUUGUGCGUAAAUUUAAACAUGAUGCAAUUUCCCGUCGGACCAUGAAUGUUGUCUUUGGACGGUUAGGAUGGCGUUCUCAGACCAUGACUUCCUGGGCCAUGAAGCGUAUGAUAAAGGAUUCGCAGGCCAUGAAAUGAUGCUCUUGAGCUAUGAGAAUUAUGCCUCCGAACUAUGAUGCCUUUGAAUAAUGAUAUGCAAGAGAUUAAAAGGGGUCCUCAGGCCAUGGCAUGGCGUUCUCAGGCAAUUAAAAUGGUGCCUCCGAACAAUGACGCCUUUGGACAAUUUUGGCGAUCUUUCAGCCCAUGAAAUGCAAUAAGAGACGAUCUUUCAGCCAUGCAAACGUAAAAUAAAGCGGCGAUAUUUCAGCCAUGCAAGUGUGAAAGUGGCGAUCUUUCAGCCAUAGAAUGCAGUAGGUGGCGAUCUUUUAGCCCAUGAAAUGCAAUAAGUGGCGAUCUUCCAGCCAUGCAAGUGUAAAAUAAAGCAGCGGUUUUUCAGCCAUGCAAUGCAGGAAAUAUAGAUGGGGACAGUGCUUAGUCUCGGAAGGCAGAAUAGUAGCCUUAUGCAAUGCAGGAAAUGCAGAUGGAGACGGUGCUUAGUCGCGGAAGGCAGAAUAGUAGCCUUAUGCAAUGUAGGAAAUGCAGAUGGAGACAGUGCUUAGCCUCGAAAGGCAGAAUAGUAGCCUUNNNNNNNNNNNNNNNNNNNNNNNNNNNNNNNNNNNNNNNNNNNNNNNNNNNNNNNNNNNNNNNNNNNNNNNNNNNNNNNNNNNNNNNNNNNNNNNNNNNNNNNNNNNNNNNNNNNNNNNNNNNNNNNNNNNNNNNNNNNNNNNNNNNNNNNNNNNNNNNNNNNNNNNNNNNNNNNNNNNNNNNNNNNNNNNNNNNNNNNNNNNNNNNNNNNNNNNNNNNNNNNNNNNNNNNNNNNNNNNNNNNNNNNNNNNNNNNNNNNNUGCAGAUAAUGCAGAUGGAGGUAGAGUUUAACCUCGGAAGGUAGAAUGACAGCCUUAUGCAAUGCAGAAAAUGUAGAUGGAGGUAGAGUUUAACCUCGGAAGGCAGAAUGGUAGCCUUAUACAAUGCAGAGAAUGCAGAUGGAGGUAGAGUUUAACCUCGGAAGGCAGAAUGGUAGCCUUAUGCAAGAGAUAAAUGGUAAUAGAGUUUUCUUAGCUGAUGCGAUAUUAUUGCCGUUGGGGAUAUCGUGUGGGGAUAGCAACUGUGAAUAGGUGUGACGGUUCUGAGAGUUGUGUUCCUGAUCAAUAUGAGUGUAUAAUGUAUUUGAUGAUUUUUGCGACUCGGGUACCUGCAUCCAAAGAAAAAUCGUGAGUUCUGUAGAGGGAGGAGGUUAGUUCGUAUCCCCGUUGGCUUUGCUUGACCUGCUCGGCUAUGAUAUUGUGCGUAUCACUGGGGUAGCAUUGCUAAACAAAGCAAUUUAAGAAAUAAACAUGCAUGAUCUUAGUAGAGAAAGUGUAACAUAAAUAUACAAUUAAUAAAAUCAUUUUCUUUAGAUGAACCAACGACUGCGACGUGGUCCAAGACAUUGCAACCCUUCUUGUUGCGGAAUUUUGAUGGUCCUCCUCAAAAUUCUGUCCUAGUUUACUGGGUUGCUGCUCCUGACUGCUGCUAGCGAUAAAUGGCUGAAAUCAACUUCGGAAUUUUGAGGGUCCUCCUUAAAAUUCUGCCCCGGUUUCCAAUAGCGAGGGAAAAUAAAAAUUGAAUUGUGACCGAACCCAUAGGGCUGCCUACGUAUCCCCUCUUAAACAGGAAUCAGGUGAGGCGUAGUUCAAAUUACAUCAUACAAGGAAAGCAUAAAGGUUACACAUAGUAUCGCUUGACUGCGUCUAAAUUGAUAGGCUUUGGCCAAACUUCUCCGUCCAUUUCUGCAAGUAUGAGGGCUCUUCCUAUUAGAAACAGGUGAACCAUGUAUGGACCCUGCCAGUUGGGAGAGAACUUCCCUUUGGCUUCAUCCUAAUGCAGGAAAUUUUUUUCAACACCAGCUUCCCCGGCGUGAAUCGUCUCGGCUUGACUCUUUUGUUGAAGGCUUUGGACAUUCUGUUCCGAUAGAGCUGACCGUGACAAACUACAUUCAUUAUCUUUCCGUCUGUAAGAGCUAGUUGUUCGUAACGACUCUUCACCCAUUCUGCAUUGUCGAGCUCAACUUCCUCUAUGAUCCUUAGGGAGGGAAUUUCUACUUCAGCGGGAAUGACUGCCUCUGCACCAUAAACCAGCAUAUAGGGAGUUGCUCCGGUCAAUGUGCGGGCUGUGGUGCGGUACCCUAAUAAAGCAAAUGAUAGUUUCUCGUGCCACUUCUUAUGCUUUUCUAUCAUUUUCCUUAGUAUCUUCUUGAUAUUUUUAUUGGCGGCUUCUAUGGCUCCGUUCAUCUAAGGUCUGUAGGCUGUAGAAUUCUUGUGUUUGAUCUUGAAGGUUUCACACAUGGCUUUCAUCAGGUCACUGUUGAGGUUGGAGCCAUUAUCGGUAAUGAUUGACUCUGGAAUUCUGAACCGACAAACAAUACGGUCGCGGACGAAGUCUGCCAUGACUUUCUUGGUCACUACUUUGUAAGAUGCUGCUUCGACCCACUUGGUGAAAUAAUCAAUUGCCACUAGGAUAAACCUGUGUUCGUUUGAUGCGGCAGGUUCGAUUGGUCCGAUAACAUCCAUUCCCCAGGCGGCGAACGGCCAUGAUGAGCUUGUUGCAUUAAGCUCAUUUGGAGGCACCUUUAUCAUGUCUGCAUAUAUCUGAUAGCAGUGGCACUUUUGGACAUACUGGAUGCAGUCCGUUUCCAUAGUGUUACAAAAAUAACCAGCCCGGAGUAUCUUCUUGGCUAAGACAAAGCCGUUCAUAUGUGUACCGCAGGUCCCAGCAUGGAUCUCUUCUAGUAGCAUAGAUGCUUCCUUCGCGUCGACACACCUCAGUAAUCCCAAAUCCAGAGUCCUCCUAUACAGGAUUCCUCCGCUAUGAAAAAAGUUAUUAGACAAUCUUUGGAGCGUGCAUUUCUGAGUGGUGUUUGCAAGCUCUCAGUAUUCUCUUUUUGCCAAAUAUUCCUUGAUAUCAUGGAACCAAGGCGUUCUGUCUGCUUCUUCUUCGACAUGGGCACAAUAGGCUGGCUGAUCAUGGACCUUUACUGGAAUGGGAUCAAUGAAGUUCUUAUUGUGAUGUUGUAUCAUGGAUGAUAGGGUAGCCAAUGCAUCGGCGAACUCAUUCUGGACUCUAGGAACAUGUUGGAAUUUUGUCUUUGUGAAUCUCUUUCUCAACUCCUGUACAUGAUGCAGAUAAGGGAGUAUCUUGGAGUUUUUGGUUGCCCAUUCUUCUCGGACCUGAUGUAUGAGCAAGUCUGAAUCCCCAAUUACUAGCAACUCUUGGAUGUUCAUGUCAAUGGCCAUUUUGAGACCUAAGAUGCAGGCUUCGUAUUCGGCCAUGUUGAUGGUGCACGGGAACUUGAGUUUGGCAGACACCAGAUAAUGCUAACCAAUUUUUGACACUAGGACUGCUCCUAUGCCAACUCUUUUGAAAUUUGCUGCUCCAUCAAAAAAUAUUCUCCAACCAUCAUAGGAUUCUGCAAUGUCUUCUCCUAUGAAUGAUACCUCUUCGUUAGGAAAAUACGUCUUUAGGGGUUCGUAUUCUCCGUCCACGGGAUUCUCGGCAAGGUGAUCUGUCAAUGCCAGUCCUUUGAUCGCUUUCUGAGUCACGUAGACAAUGUCAAAUUCACUCAACAGGAUUUGCCACUUGGCUAGCUUGCCGGUAGGCAUGGGUUUCUGAAAGAUGUACUUCAAAGGAUCUAUCCUUGAUAUGAAAUAUGUGGUAUAGGCACAGAAGUAGUGCCUUAACUUCUGAGCUACCCAAGUCAAAGCACAACAGGUGUGCUCUAACAGAGAAUACCUGGCUUUGUACGGGGUGAACUUCUUACUAAGAUAAUAGAUGGCCUGCUCCUUCCUCCCCAUUUCUUCAUGUUGCCCCAGAACACAACCGAAAGCUCCAUCUAACACUGCAAGGUAGAGUAAUAGAGGUCUACCUGGCUCGGGUGGGACCAAAGCUGGUGGUGUUGAUAGGUAUUCUUUAAUUCUAUCGAAAGCUUUUUGGCAGUCAUCGGUCUAUUUGGUAGCGGAUUCCUUCUUCAACAUCUUAAAGAUUGGAUCACAGAUAACUGUAGAUUGAUCUAUGAACCGGCUGAUGUAGUUGAGUCUCUCCAAGAAACUCAUUACGUCCUUCUUGUUCUUUGGUGGUGUCAACUCUUGAAUAGCUUUGGCCUUUAAUAGAUCCAGUUCUAGUCCUCGGCGACUUACAAUGAACCCAAGUAGUUUUCCGGCAGGAACCCCGAAUGCACAUUUUGCGGGAUUCAGUUUCAGGUUGUACCUUCUCAAUCUAUUGAAGAACUUCCUCAAAUCUUCCAUGUGAUCAGUGGCUUUUUUGGACUUGAUGAUGACAUCAUCUACAUAUACUUCGAUCUCCUUGUGUAUCAUAUCACGAAAAAUAGUAGUCAUGGCCCUCCUAUAGGUGGCCCCUGCAUUCUUUAACCCGAAUGACAUCAUCUUGUAGCAGUACAUCCCCCACGGCGUAAUGAAAGCCGUUUUCUAAGCAUCUUCUUUAUUCAUCCAGAUCUGAUGAUAUCCUGCAAAACAAUCCAUGAAUGACUGCAACUCAUGUUUGGCGCAAUUGUCAAUCAGGAUGUGUAUGUUCGGCAAGGGGAAGUUGUCUUUCGGACUGGCCCAGUUGAUAUCCCGGUAGUCGACACAGACCCUGACCUUCCCAUUCUUCUUCGGUGCUGGCACAAUGUUGGCUAACCAUGUCGGAUAUUCUACUACUCUGAGAACCUUAGCUUUGACCUGCUUAGUGACUUCUUCCUUGAUUUUCAGACUCACGUUAGGUUUAAACUUUCUGAGCUUUUAUUUUACCGGUGAACAUGUCGGAUCAGUUGGUAGUUUGUGUUCCACAAUAGAUGUACUCAGACCAGUCAUGUCAUCAUACGACCAAGCGAAUAUGUCCUCAUACUCCUUUAGAAAUUCUGUGUAUUCUUCCUUUUCUGGUGGUGACAAAUGAAUGUUGAUUCGAGUUUCUUUGACAUUUUCUGCAUCUCUUAGGUUAAUAAUCUCAGUCUUGUCCAGAUUGAACUUAGAUCUGUUCUCAAAAUUCUCAACUUCUUUAACAAUCUCUUCUGGUAUAUCAUCUUCCUCUGAAUCUAUGUCUGUUUGUUGCGUUGUCUUAUUGCAGGUUACAAUCAUUAGUUCAUCAAGAUAAGUAAUAGUAAUGUUGUAUAAAUAAAGUAAUGAGAAAAAAUAAUAAGAGUACGAUUUAUAAGGAAGCCGAAAUGCUUUGAUAAAUUCCAUAACUAUUUUGAACAUUUGAAGAUCUUAUUGCGAAAAUUUAAAAUGCGAAAGGAAAGUCAACUAGUAAAAUAGAAGAUAGUGCAUGAUGCUUUGUUCAGCCUUGCUACCCCGAGGCUUUUCGGGCUCUGGUGGUUCUGAUGGUCCAGUUAUUGAGGCAUGAUCCUCUGCUUACUGCCUGUAUGGAAGGGCCUUCCUCCCCUCCUCCUCGAAAAUAACACAACAAUCCAUAUCAUCGUCUUCUAGGAACAAAUUCCUCACUGCUUCCAGUGCUUCCUCUUCUUCUGUCCCACAAAUACUCGGCUGGCUGGAAAGUCUACUCCGAGCGUAGUAUUGGCUGCUCCAGCAAAUAGUAAGGACUGCGCCAUGGUGGCGACCAGUUGUUAAACUCGUCCCAAGUGUACUCAUAUCCUAGACCAAAGGUGGUACCAUGUUUCUUUAGUUUGAUAGGCUUAGCGAUUUCUUGGAGGUUCUUGCCAAGUCCCUUGUCAGGUUCAUAUCUGCUCCAGUUCAAUAUGCUUUCAAUUUUGUUGUCCCACCACUUAUCCUUGUCAACAGCGUUGACUUGCUCAAUGUGGUGAUAGGUCUCCCCGCCUAUCUUUCUUCUGCCUCCGAUCGCUGGGAUGGUCUGACGACUGUAUAUGGGAUUUCUACCGUCGCCAUGAAUGGUCACCUCUUGGUGGUUCCACUCAAACUUCACUGCCUGAUGCAGUGUUAAUGCUACAGCCCCAGCGGCAUGAAUCCACGAUCGUCCUAACAACAAAUUGUAAGAUGCCGGCAUGUCUGUCACUUGAAAAUCAAUAUUGAACCAAGUCAGCCCCAUAUGCAAACACAUGCUGAUUUCCCCAAUGGUGGACCUUUGGGAACCGUCGAAAGCUUUGACGUUGAUGGCCCCGUCCUUGAUCUCGUGCAGCCUCUUUCCCAACGUUCUAAUUAUUACCAACGGACAAAUGUUGAGGCUGGACCCUCCAUCAAUCAGGAUUCUAGUGAUAAAAUAAUCUUCGCAUUGCACGGUGAUAUGCAACGCCUUGUUGUGACUCAACCCUUCUGGUGGCAACUCAUCUUCAUGAAAAGUGAUCUUGUGACUUUCCAAUACCUACCCUACCAUGUUUGCCAUCUCUCCUUCGGUGAUGUUGCUCGGUGCAUAUGCCUCAUUUAGCACCUUUAACAAGGCAUUCUUGUGUGCAUCGGAACUCUGUAGCAAAGCUAGGAUAAAAAUCUAUGUUGGCAUUUUGUUCAGCUGAUCAAUGACCGAGUAUUCCUUGGCUUGUAUCUUUCUCCAGAGAUCAUCGGGCCCGGUUUCAGUGAUGGCUAGCCAACUAGAGGCCUGCUUACUCAACUCAGCUAAAUGCACUAGAGUAUAAACUCUACCGGUUCUUGUCAUACCCUGUGCCGCAACGGUUUCCCCGAACUUGGCCUUCCCUUUUCUUCUUGCCUUGGCUGUGUAGUCCCAAGGUAUGGCAUUUGUAUGGAAUGGUGUUACUGCCAACAUUGCUACUGGAAUGGGCACCUUUACUCCGAACGGAGCAUGUAUUUUGGAAGGUAAAAUCGCAACUUCAAAUGGUACAUGUGUAUUUGCCGGAGACCCAAAUUCGACCUCAAUUGGUGCUGGCGUCUUUGCCGAGGGUAGUGCUUCAAACUCAAGUGCUAUAGACAUAUUUACCUCGGCGUCCCCAGAAGGCUGAAUCUGGACUACAAUCGGAUUAAGGGUGACUAUUGGCUUCUUUGGAUCGUCGCCCUCUGUGAUCAAACUGAUCGAUCCCUUGGGGUCCCAAUCAUCAUCUAUUUCAAUCAUGUGAACACCUCCACCCUUGUGGUCUGGCAGAGGGUUAUUACGGAUAUUCGGAGCAGGCUCCCUUGCCACAAUAAUCUUGUUAUUAAUUAGGGCCUGGAUCUUGUCUUUCAGGGAGCGACAUUCGUCGAUGGUAUGUCAUUUCAUGUCGGAAUGGUAUGUACAGAAUUUGUUUGGGUUAACCCAUUGAGAAUGGUUCUCAGGGGUUAUAGUAGGGAUAGGGGUGACAUAACCAGCAGCUUUGAGCCUUUCGUACAACUGGUCAAUGGGUUCAGUAAUGGCAGUAUACUGUUUGGGAGGUCUUCAGUCAAAAUUUGGUCGAGGUCUAGGAAGGUUUUGACGUGUGGGAGGCGAUUGAUAGUGGAAUUGUUGAAUAUUGUAGGCUUGGUAAACAUGUGCGGGUUGGGAGUAUCUGGGCGAAGUAGGCUGAUAUGUGGGAGGGGGCGAUGACUGAUAAGUGGGUGGUGGAGUUUGGUAAGAGGGUGGUGGUGCUUGGUAGUUUGGAGUAGGUUGAUACGUGAGUGGAGUCGUUGGGUAGGUUUGGUAUUUGAUGGGAGAUUUGGUUCUCUGUGCCACCAUGAUGGCUCCGACAUCCCUUUUCUUGGAUGCACCACCGGACUGUAAGGCCUUAUUUGUAGCUUGCAAGGCUUCAAAGUUUGUAACCAUACCACUUUUGGUGCCCUCUUCGAUCGUUUCCCCCAGCUUGAUAAUGUCAGAAAAUUUAUGGUUCUCAAUCAACAUUAGCCUUUCAUAAUAUUGCGGGUCCUGAGCUCGGACAAAAAAUUUGUUCAUUUGUUCCUCUUCUAAGGCAGGCCUGACCUUAGCAGCUUCUGAUCUACAGCGAGUAGCAUACUCACGGAAUGUUUUCGUGGGCCUCUUCUUUAGGUUCUGGAUGUAGAACACAUCUAGUGCAUUCUCUGUGUUAAACCUAAAUCUGUCCAUAAAGUCAGAUGCCAUAAUCACCCAGUUCAACCACUUCUUCGGGUCUUGGCUAAUGCACCAAGACAAAUCAUCUCCUUUCAGACCCCUCAUGAAAAGUUUCAUGCGGAUCCUUUCGUCCUUUCCUACUCCGACCAACUUGUCACAGUAUAUUCUCAAAUGAACUCUUGGAUCCUCUGUACCAUCAAACAUCUCGAACUUAGGAGGUUUGUACCCCUCGGGCAGUUCAACAUCGGGUUGUAUGCAAAGAUCUUCGUAGUUCAAACCUUCAAUCCCCGUACUUCCUUCGACGCCUUGAAUUUGGCUGGUCAACUUCUUAAGUUCUUCAGCCAGGUUCCUGAUGAGUGAGUCUUUAUCAUCAGACUCGUGUAUGUUUGAGAUGGGUUGGGUGGAGUGUGGCAUGGUCUCCACGUAGAUAGGGGUGUUAUGGUAGGUAUGAAAGUGGUCAUUUGUGGAGUUUUGGGGUUCCGGGAUGAGCAGUGGAGUAUUGUUGGAAGUAUGGCAGGUGUUGCAGUGGUGGUAAGGAGCGGGAUGGUUUUGUGGCUUUGGGAUAUUUUGUGGAGGUGUGGGGUUCUGAGCAUUUGGGAAAUUGACAUCUGGAGUGGUGAGGGAAAAUGACAGAUUUGCCAGAUUCCGAACUUGAUCAAGUUCCUCCUGGAACUUCAACAAAUUCUGCUCGAGUUGGGACGCACUUUCUUUGGAAACCUGAGUAUCAUGAGUGACCUAUACCCGUUCAGUUGAGUUGUUCAGAUCUUCCAUCUUUUCUUUGUUCUUGUUUUUGACAGGAUUUGGAGGAGGAGUGGGUGGAUGGCCUCUGGAUCUUGUGAAAUAAGAUGAUGAUGCCAGAGUGCACGAACUAACCUUAAGAGAGGGGAAUAAAACAAAAGUAUAAACAAAAAAGGUAACAAGUUAGUGAGAAUUAUAAAAAAAAUGUUGUGAUAUUUAAACACAUAGUGAGAAUGUAAAUCGCGUCCUAACUUGGGGAACCUCUUUGUGCCCGAGGUGGGCCUAGCGACAAGUUGAUUUGGAGAACGUAGAAUGCUAAAUGCCUCAUUUUAUUGAUAAAAAGUAGACGAAUCCCAAAACGACGCUAAAUAACAGGAAAUAAAAUGUCACUAAUGGCCAUGGGCCUUUAUUACAUUUCUUAAAGCGAAAGAACAAGCUCCUAUCUACUUGGUCCCAGAAGGACCUUCCCCAGACUCGGCAUCUUUGGUUCCAUCAAACAGUUUCACCAACUCGUGAAGUCCCAGCAACAAAUAGGCUAUGGCUAGGUGUCCGCCCUCGUUUCCUUCAGUAUUUUGGCAAUCCUCGAUUAUUUUGAAAAAUUUCCUUUCCAACUCUACUAAACCCCACUCCAAGUAUCCCAGUCGCUUGUUGGCACUGACAGCCAUGUCUUUCCACUCUUCAAUCAGUUUUUGGUGGGCUUCUUAAAUCUCACGGUGCUUACUUUCACAUUCCCAAAUCCUCUUGCGUAGUUGAUUGUAUUUGACAUGUGCCUCGGCCUUUUCAUCUAUGAUUCUGUGACCUCUAACAAACCCGGGUUGACCCUGACCAUUAUGAUUAUCCUCCAGCCAGCCUGAAUAGUAUGGAGUACAACCAGCAUGGUAUCUGUCUGGCUUAAUAGUAUCCAUUCCCAUGACGAUUUUGCAGUGCCACAUAUGCUAAGCCUGGCACUUGUAAGGGCUAUCAUCAUCCUGAAAUUCAGCCCGGAAGUGACUCAUCUUAUCGACCCUUGGUAUAACCUGCUUCCUACUAGCUUGCCUCAUAACUCGGAGGGGGACGUAAGGGUAGGUUCCUCUCAAACCGAUCAGUAUCAGAAAUGGUGCAUCCCUGGAUCGGGCGAUGAAUUCCUCAAUAGGGAACCACUCGAACAUCCAUUGUACUUGAUCCUCAAUUAGAUUUUCAAACAACUCUAACCACCCCUUGGUGUCUUAUGGCUGGGCGAACAUGUUGGGCAUGUAGUUCAUUCGUCUUGGAUAAUGGAAGGCUAUGUGAUCAUCCCAAUCCCUUCGAUGAAUCUCUUGCCGGUAUUCACCCCUUUGGAGAUGUUCCAUGAGCCAGAGCUGGAGUAGCAAAUUCCAACCCUCAAAAUGUUGGGCUCCUUAUUGACAUUUCUCCAAGGCUCGGUAUAUCUCUGCAAGGAUCAUAGGCACUAUGCUGAAUGGUUGCCCACCAAUUCCCUCUAUUAGAGUUUUGGUUACCAUAGCUAGCCUGGUGUGGAUCCUUCCUUUCUUCAUUAGCAACACUAUCAUCCCCAGGAGGCAAAACAUGAAGACAAAGACCCUUUGGUGAAGAUUCCCUAAUGAUGUGAGGGCGAACUCAUCAGGAUAAGUACGGUAAGAUUUGCUAUGACCGUAUCUCUCGUACAAAUAAUCAAAGGGAAUAUACGACUCUUUCAAGCAUGUUAAGUCUGGAUUCUUCUUUAGACCCAUCAUUUUGAGGAAACCUCUACCCUUGCGGUUUUUUGGCAUUAACAAACUCGGAUUUUCCCAUGGUAUACCAGCUAAUCCUCCUAUUUCCUCUAGCAGGGGUGUCAUCUCAAUGUCCCCGAAGCGGAACACAGACCUAUCACAAUCUCAGAACUGAGUAGCAGCUUUUAUGAUCUUGGUGUUAGGUUGGAUUUCCAGUAGAGAAGGUAGAUUUCCUAGGUAUUUUCGGACAAGAGUCUAAUCACUAGAAUGAAGAUCCUCCCACCAGCUUAGCAAUUUUGGUUGGAUGUUGGUGACCAUGCCGCAUCUGGGGACUUCGUGCCUUAUAUUUUUGCAAGACAAAAGGGUUAGGUCCUUAUCCCCACCAGAAUCGACUAUUAAAUAUCAACAAUAAUUGGCACAAAAACAUUUAGUUCUCCAAAUAAAUGCACAAAACGUGGUAGUGUCUGUUUGGGUUUUAGACAAACCCAGUGGACUUUGGACAAAGCUAUCUUAAAGAGUCUUUAUGCGGACAACAUAACUGACUCGGCUAGGUUUAACCAUGAUGCAUGCACAAUUAAUCAAAAUAAGGUUUCUAUAGGGUUUUAGACUGGUACCCUUGAGCGGACAACUCAAGAGGGAAAGGCAUAGAAUCGUCGACUACACCGUUGAUCGACUAGUUUUACCGCAAAUAUGCCUUUGCCAGAUUUAGAGGGAGACAAUAUCGUAAGAGCGCAACCACUCAUUAUAAGCGUUGCUAUGGUAUUUUAUUGGCACGAGUGGAAUAUGAUGUUGAGCAUGAUUAUGCAACAAUUAAAGCAGGUUAUCACGUAUUCGCACGUUAGGAAAGCAGUAAAUACAACAAUUUUCCAUAAUUUAAAACAAUAGUAAAGGAAAGCAAUAAAGGACAGUAAUAAAGGGAAAAAACAAAAGACCAGUCAGUUUUGCAAUCGAAAAGAAAAUUGAAUGCUUUAAAGAAAUAAACAAAUAAUUGCGCAUAAAGAAGCAUAAAUCACAAUAAUAGUCCGAAAUGGUAAAAGCCUAAGUAUCCCCAGCAAAGUCGCCAUGCUGUCGCGCCCCCUUUUUCUCGCAAAAUCGGGUCUAUGACAUUUGGGAGGACAACUCAUUCCCUUUUGGGAAUUGGGUUUGAAUUGAAGAGUCGCCACCUAAUGAUUAAAGUGCAUUAGGACACUAGGAAAGGAUUUGUUUUGGGUAACCAGAGAUUGGGUAAGGGCUUGAAAUUAUCCCGAGGGAAAGGUGUUAGGCACCCCUCGGGAUCCACUAGUGUGGUUCCCGGCCAGACUAUUAUUAUGAACUUAGGCGCAAAUAACACGUAAAUAAAUAAAGCUUCAAAUGAGAGGGGAUUUUCACAUAAGGGUUUAUAAACAAAUAAAGUUGGAAAGAACUAAAAGAAAGUUGAUUUUUUAAAAAAAAAAAAAAGAGUUUGAAAUCUUUAGAAGAAACAAAGAAACAAAAGGAAAGGGGAUUCCUAGGUUUAUUAAUAAUAUGGAUGACCCCACAUAACAUCCGGUAAUCACUCCUCAGUGAGGGGAUACACGUGAUGUUACCGCGUGGUCAUCAUAUCCAUAUCUACCCUUUCCCACCCCGUUAAGGUAUUAAAGCACGGAAUGGUCUCGUUUACUUAUUGCAUGUUAUUACCAUUCCAAAUACUAUCAGUCCCAGAGGUAUUUAAGACUACUAAUCCUAAAAGGGAGGUAUAUUGGGCUUAUUUGUAGUUUCAAAGGCAGAAUUCUAAGGCGACGUACAAAACACGUAUAGCAAGUUGGGGGAGGCACAUAACAAGUAAAAGGCUCAGAUAUACCUCCUUUGAUAGAGAAGCACAUAAUUUAGCAUAUCUUGCACAUACUAUUUAGGGUCUGAUUAAAAUUUAAAGGUUGAGGCAGACUGAUUUAUUACAUAGUUCAGAUAAGAAGCCCGAAUCAGGCCUGCCUGCUGGUUGUAGCUAAUAAAAUCUGAUUCAGUUUAAAAUUUUAGCCCUAAGGCUUGCCUAGGUGUUGGACGAUGAUACUAUAGGCAUGAUAUCUAUUGAUUUCAGAAACAAUGAAGUGAACUGAAUACAUACUAAUUUAAGAGAAGUCGUUAGUCGUUAAAAAAAGCAAUUUUUUGCAAAAGGUUAUAGGUUCUGCAAAUGGUGCGUCAUUAUUACUUGUUUUAGACUUAUAAGCGAGUGAAGCGAUUCAUACUUGAGUAAUAACUCCUAUAGACAUGAUUUCUAUGCAUGUUGAUUUUAAACCCCUUUUAACAGACAUGGUAAAAUGCAGAAACCCUAUAAGCAUGAUAUCUAGGUGUUGGAUUUCAUUUAAAGCCUAUGAACAUGAUAUCUAAUUGCAGUUGAUUAAUUAAGACCUAUAAACCUGAUUGCCUGAUGAGGAAUGGAUAUACAAGAUUCAGAAGGACCUAUAGGGAUAUUUCUAUAUGCAGAAUUCAAAUUUCCCGAUACCUAUGGACAUGAUUUCUAUAUGAGAGAAUGCAGAAUUCCUAUAGACAUGGUACUAUGUGAGAAAUGCAGAAAUUGGGAAUAUCUAUAGGCAUGAUAUCUAUGUGAGAAAUGCAGAAAUCAGGAAUAUCUAUAGGCAUGAUAUCUAUGUGAGAAACGCAGAAAUAUCUAUAGGCAGGAUAUCUAUGUGAGAAUGCAGAAUUUCUGAAGUACCUAUAGGCAAGAUAUCUACCCUUUGCAUACAUAGUUACCCGCCCUUUUUACUAACCAUCUCCAAGAGUUUAUUACAAAUUAUUACAGCCCAGAAUGAAGUAAAGGAAUACAUCAAAGAUUAAAAGGUACAACCAAGGAGAGCCAGAUUCAGACUUCAUGUCUGAAAUAUGAGGUAAACCAACUCCAAGAGAUCAUAAUCCAAAGCCCUUCUCCCAUUUGGAUGUGUCAAAGUUCCCUAAGAGCCUCAAAGGGGACUCCGGGCAAUGCUUACACCCAAAUGUAUACCAGAUUUGGACGAGUGCAGUGUGGAAAGGCCAGCCCUCAAGUGUCCAAGUUCAUAGGGAACUCAAGGUCCCAAGGCAAGGCUCACAAGAGAGGGGGCAGAACUUAAAGACUAAGAGAGAGUGCAAGUGCAGAAACAGAAUUCUGAGAGAGGGAAAAGGGAAGGGAAACAACUACAAAUAAGUACACAUAGGGGUAUAGGGGAAUGAGAUUCAUAGCAGAAACAAAACAGAAAGAGAUCAACAUGCUAAUUGAAAUAUUGAGCUCUGCAGAAACAGUAAGUAGGCAUAGAUACAAAAACUAUAAAUAACCACAUUGUUGUGAUGCUGAAGCUUAAAUCAGGACAUACCAGUUUCAAAGAAACAAGUAGAGAAAAACAGUAGGUCUUGUAAACAGGCCACAGUGCAGACAAGAAGAGAGAAUAUUAUUGUGUAAGUGUGAGUCAAGAAGACUGUCAAUUGUGAUGGUGUGUUUGUGAAAGAGCCGUGCAUUUAUAGUGUGAAAUCAGGAGGAAAUAAGGUACGAAAACAGUUNNNNNNNNNNNNNNNNNNNNNNNNNNNNNNNNNNNNNNNNNNNNNNNNNNNNNNNNNNNNNNNNNNNNNNNNNNNNNNNNNNNNNNNNNNNNNNNNNNNNNNNNNNNNNNNNNNNNNNNNNNNNNNNNNNNNNNNNNNNNNNNNNNNNNNNNNNNNNNNNNNNNNNNNNNNNNNNNNNNNNNNNNNNNNNNNNNNNNNNNNNNNNNNNNNNNNNNNNNNNNNNNNNNNNNNNNNNNNNNNNNNNNNNNNNNNNNNNNNNNNNNNNNNNNNNNNNNNNNNNNNNNNNNNNNNNNNNNNNNNNNNNNNNNNNNNNNNNNNNNNNNNNNNNNNNNNNNNNNNNNNNNNNNNNNNNNNNNNNNNNNNNNNNNNNNNNNNNNNNNNNNNNNNNNNNNNNNNNNNNNNNNNNNNNNNNNNNNNNNNNNNNNNNNNNNNNNNNNNNNNNNNNNNNNNNNNNNNNNNNNNNNNNNNNNNNNNNNNNNNNNNNNNNNNNNNNNNNNNNNNNNNNNNNNNNNNNNNNNNNNNNNNNNNNNNNNNNNNNNNNNNNNNNNNNNNNNNNNNNNNNNNNNNNNNNNNNNNNNNNNNNNNNNNNNNNNNNNNNNNNNNNNNNNNNNNNNNNNNNNNNNNNNNNNNNNNNNNNNNNNNNNNNNNNNNNNNNNNNNNNNNNNNNNNNNNNNNNNNNNNNNNNNNNNNNNNNNNNNNNNNNNNNNNNNNNNNNNNNNNNNNNNNNNNNNNNNNNNNNNNNNNNNNNNNNNNNNNNNNNNNNNNNNNNNNNNNNNNNNNNNNNNNNNNNNNUAGCUAAGCACUUUGUGUAAGGUAGGCAUUUAGGGGUAAAUACAUAAGACAAUUAUUUAAGGACAGAAUUGGAAAUACGCGGUUGUACAAAUAAGGUAAUAAAAUCAAUUAGUAGCCAGUAAAUCAAAGGGUCUAAGAUUUUGCAAUUACUGGUCCAUGAAUGAACCGAGUCAGAAAAGAUGAGAAAAGGUUUUUUUUUAAUCUAAGUCGAAUCACAAGGAAAUCAGCAAACAAUGGAAAGAAAUCAAUCAGACCUGCUCAAAAGGAAGUCUGAACUGGUCACAACAUUAAAAGACAUUUUAGAGGGAAGUUCUUCAUAUAUAAAAAGCAUACAAACAUGUUCAAUUGAAAGAAGAUGUCAUGCCUUUGCAAAAAUCAGUAGGCAGUGGUUGUCACAUAAGUCAGUAAUGCAGAAGAGAAAUAGCAUCCAGUAGCAUACAAAAGGUCCAAUGCAAAAGGUCUUAUAAGAUUUUAGCAAAAAGUCAGAAUCAUAGAUGUACAAACUCAGUUCAGAGACUCGAAAGGUCUGAAAGAGUUAGGGGUUUUUUGAAAUAAAACUCUAGUUCAAGCAAAUCACAUAGCCAAACUUGGAAGAACCCCCAAAUUCUAGGGUUUCCACCGUUAAUCGAGUGCAAAAAUGAGAGGGCAAGUAGUUAAAUCGAAAAAGGUUCAGAGGUCUUAGAAAAGAACUGAAACUUCUAACAUGUUUCUUUUAGCAACAGAAACUCAUGAAAAACAUGAUAGAAAAGUAACAUGCAGAACACAGUAGAAGAGCUCAAAGAAAACAGAGUAGAAGAAACUAAUUCGAAACAUAAUGGGAAAAUUGGUAAGAACAGUAGGAGAAGCACACAAGAACAUAGUAGAGAAAAAUAUAAUAGAAAAGGCAUACAAGAACACAGUAGAGGGAAAUACACACAAAAAGAAAAAGAAAGUCAGAGAGACAUUUAAAUACUUUCAGAAAAAACCCUAGGCCGGAAAAGAGAUGAUUUUAAAAGAAAAGUCAGGAAAAACGUUUUAAAAACUUAAGGAAAGCAUGGAUCUGGAAAAGAUCUAAGGAGAUCAGAAAACCCUCGAAGGGUUAGGGUUUUAGAAGAACCCCAGUAGUGAGAAAGACUUGAAAAGGUCAUUGAUCUGAGCCGGAGAAGUCAAAACUAGGCUAGAAGCAGGCAUGGCUCGCUGGAGCAGGCCGGAGAUGGCCAUAGAUCUUGAAUCAAACGAAGCCUGGACCAAGCUUCUUUGUGGUCAGGCCUUAAAUCUUCAGAAAUCAGGCGUGUGGGAGUCAUAGGAGGACGAUGAAGGACUCUGAUGUCUUUGGAAGCCAUGGAUUCUGGUGGCUUUAAGGUGGAAGUGGUGAGAGGCGGCUAGGGUUUGAGAAGCUUCGAGAGAGUUUGAGAGAAUGGGGGAGGGGGGUUCAAAGGCGACUACCGGUGACAAAAUGAUUAGGGUUGGGGGUGUUGGUAAAUUAAAAAGGAAAGGGAGAACGUGAGUCGUUGAUCUAAAAAUUAAAAAGGAAAGGGAGAACGUGAGUCGUUGAUCUGUUAGAUCAACGGCUGGGAUUUAAAGGGGGGUCGGGUGGGUUAUUUUUAAAGGUCGUGGGUCGGGUAAUAUUGGAAUUGGGUUGGGCAAUUGAAAUUGAAAUUGAUUUGGAUUAGGAGUGCCAAAUCUGGCCAAAAUCGAAAUAAAAACAGGCUAACAUUUAAAUAGUCAUUUUCCCUUAUUUAUUUUAUAAAAAAUAAUAAAAUAAUUUCUGAAAACAAAUUAAAGGUACUAAAUUAAUUAAUAAUAUAUAAAUAUUAGACUAAAAAUAUGGGAGCCAAUUUUGUAAUUAUAAACGCAAUUAAAUCUUAAAGUAGGCUAAUAUUGCAAUUAUAUGCAAUUUAGCUUUUUUGAAAUACUAAAUAAAUUUGUAAAAAUGUGCAAAAAUCAUAAUAGUAAUAUUUUAGUAUAAAUAUGAGAAUUCAAUAAAUUAAUUACCAAAAUGCCAAUUUUUGGAACACUUAUUGGGUUUUUCUUGAUAAAAUAGGGCAAUAAAAUUGACUUUAAAAUAUUUAAAAAUUUGAGAAAAAUAAUAAGACCUUGGGACAUACUUAUAUAUGUAUAUAAAUGCUAUCUUGAAAGGUAUUUUACAUAUAAAAAUACAGGGAAAAAUUGGGUAUCAACAGGUGCAUCAUCUUGCCAUGGUUCUCACAGUUCUCAGCAGGGCCACUCAUCUCUCAAUCCCCUUCUAGCUCAAAGUUCGUCUCAUGCACCAUCAGCUCAGGGUUCAUCUAUGCAUGGUCCUUCUAGCGGGUAUCCCGGUGCUCGGGGCUCCCUUCAGUCCCCAUUGCCAGUGGCUGGUAGAGGUUACUUUGAGUGUGGAGAUUUGGGUCAUAUCAAGAGGUUUUAUCCCCGUCUUAUAGGAGGUUUUUCCCAGCAAAGGAGUCAGCCUUUGGCUUCAGCGCCAGUUACUUCACCACCCGCCCAGCCAGCUCGGGGUGGAGGUUAGUCAGCUAGGGAUCGUCCAAGCAGGGAAGGUCGAUCAGGUGGCAGUCAAGCCCAUUUCUAUGCACUCCCUGCCAGACCAGAUGCUAUUGUUUCAGAUGUUGUGAUCACAGGUAUUAUCUUAGUUUGCCACAAGGAUGCCUCUAUAUUAUUUGAUCCUGGUUCUACUUUUUCAUAUGUGUCGUCAUAUUUUUCUCAUCAUUUGGAUACGCCCCGCGAGUCUUUUAUUUUAUUUGUUUAUGUAUCUACGCCAGUGGGCGAUACUAUUAUUGUGGACCGUAUACAUCGGUCGUGUGUAGUGACUAUUGAGGGACUAGAGACUAGAGUGGAUUUGUUGGUGCUUAGUAUGGUUGAGUUUGAUGUGAUAUUGGGCAUGGAUUGGUUGUCUCCGUAUCAUGCUAUUCUGGAUUGUGACGCUAAGACGGUGGCACUGGCUAUGCCAGGAUUGCCACGAAUUAAGUGGCGAGGUUCGUUGGAUUAUGUCCCUAGUAGAGUGAUUUCAUACUUGAAGGCCCAGCGAAUGGUUGGAAAAGGUUGUCUUUAUUAUUUGGCCUUUGUGAGGGACGUCAAUAUAGAGACUCCUACUAUUGAUUUAGUUUCUGUGGUAAGGAAUUUUCCGGAUAUGUUUCCUGCAGACCUGUCGGGCAUGCCAUUGGACAUGGAUAUUGACUUCAGUAUUGAUUUGGUGCCGGGCACUCAGCCCAUUUCUAUUCCACCAUAUCGUAUGGAACCAACGGAGUUAAAAGAAUUGAAGGAGCAACUUCAGGAACUCCCUGAUAAGGGGUUUAUUCAGCCUAGUGUGUCACCUUGGGGUGGACCAGUUGUAUUUGUGAAGAAGAAGGAUAGCAUCAUGAUAAUGUGCAUUGAUUACAAGCACUUAAACAAAGUCACAAUCAAGAACAAGUAUCCCUUACCUCGUAUUGAUGAUUUAUUUGACCAGCAUUAGAGAGCGAGGGUGUUCUCCUAGAUUGAUUUAAGGUUGGGGUAUCACCAGUUGAAGAUUAUGGACUCGGACAUUCUUAAGACAGCCUUCAGGACCCGAUAUGGUUAUUAUAAGUUUCUUGUGAUGUUUUUUGGGCUGACCAAUGCCCCAGCAACGUUCAUGCAUUUGAUGAACAGUGUGUUUCAGCCUUAUCUCGACUCGUUUGUUAUUGUGUUCAUUGAUGAUAUCCUGUUGUACUCUCGUAUCCAUGAGGAGCAUGCCUAGCAUUUGCGGAUUGUGUUGCAGCGGUUGAGGGAGAAGAAGCAUUAGGCUAAGUUCUCCAAGUGUGAGUUUUGGCUCAGUUCAGUGGCGUUCUUAGGGAACUUGGUGUCUAUUGAGGGUAUUCAGGUGGAUCAGAAGAAGAUAGAGGCGGUCCAGAGUUGGCCCAGAUCGUCCUCAGCCACAGUAAUUCGUAGAUUUCUUAGUUUGGCAGGUUAUUAUCGUCGGUUUGUGCAGGGUUUCUCUUCUAUUGCAUCGCCCUUGACCAAAUUGACCCAAAAGGGUGCUCCUUUCAUGUGGUCGAAUGAGUGUGAGGCGAGCUUUCAGAAGCCCAAGACUGCCUUGACCACAACUCCAGUGUUGGUUCUGCCAUCAGCGUCUGGUUCUUAUACUAUAUAUUGUGAUACUUCUCGGAUCGGCAUUGGGUGUGUUUUGAUGCAUGAGGGUAGAGUGAUUUCUUAUGCUUCAUAUCAGUUGAAGCCCCAUGAGAAGAACUACCAUGUUCACAAUUUGGAGUUAACUGCCAUUGUUCACACGUUGAAGAUUUGGAGGCACUAUCUUUAUGGUGUGUCUUGUGAGGUGUUUACUGAUCAUCGUAGCCUUCAGCACUUGUUCAAGCAGAAGGAUCUCAAUUUGAGGCAGUAGAGAUGGUUGGAGCUGCUAAAGGACUAUGAUAUUACCAUUUUGUAUCAUCUGGGAAAGCCCAAUGUGGUGGCCGAUGCCUUGAGUAGGAAGGCAGUGAGUAUGGGUACUCUUGCAUUNNNNNNNNNNNNNNNNNNNNNNNNNAAUUUGAGGCNGUAGAGAUGGUUGGAGCUGCUAAAGGACUAUGAUACUUACCAUUUUGUAUCAUCUGGGAAAGCCAAUGUGGUGGCCGAUGCCUUGAGUAGGAAGGCAGUGAGUAUGGGUACUCUUGCAUUCCUGCCUGUUGGGGAGAGACCUCUUGCAGUUGAUGUUCAGGUUUUGGCCAAUCGGUUUGUGAGAUUGGAUAUUUCGGAGCCCAGCCAGGUCCUAGCUUGUGUGGUUUCUCGGUAUUCCUUGUUUGAUCGCAUCAACGAGCACCAGUAUGAUGAUCCUCAUUUGCUUGUCCUCAAGGAUAGGGUUCAGCACUAUGAUUCCAGAGAUGUGACUAUUGGUGAUGAUGGGGUAUUGAGGAUGCAGGGCCGGAUAUGUGUGCCCAAUGUAAAUGGGCUUCGAGAUUUGAUUCUAGAGAAGGCCCACAGCUCGCGGUAUUCCAUCCAUCUGGUUGCCGCAAAUAUGUAUCAUGAUUUGAGAUAGCACUAUUGGUGGAGGAGGAUGAAGAAAGAUAUAGUUGGGUUUGUAGCUCGGUGUCUCAACUGUCAGCAGGUGAAAUAUUAGCAUCAAAGACUGGGUGGCUUGCUUCAGCAGAUAGAGAUUCCAGAGUGGAAGUGGGAGCAGAUACCAUGGAUUUCGUAGUUGGGCUCCCACGGACUUCGAGGAAGUUCGAUGUUAUUUCGGUGAUUGUGGAUUGGCUGACCAAGUUCGCGCACUUCAUUCCUGUGUGUACUACCUAUUCUUCAGAGUGAUUGGCUGAGAUUUACAUUAGAGAGAUUGUUCGCCUUCAUGGAGUGCCAGUUUCUAUCAUUUAAUAUUGAGGCAUGCAGUUUACAUCGCAGUUCUGGAGGGCCGUGCAGCGAGAGUUGGGCACUCACGUUGAGUUGAGCACAACAUUUCACCCUCAGAUGGACGGACAGUCCAAGCGCACUAUUCAGAUAUUGGAGGACAUGCUACGCGCUUGUGUCAUUGAUUUUGGGGGUUCAUGGGACCAGUUUGCUUACAACAACAGUUAUCAGUCGAGUAUUCAGAUGGCUCCAUAUAAGGCUUUAUAUGGGAGGCGGUGUUCAUCUCUAGUGGGUUGGUUUGAGUCAGGUGAGGCUAGGCUUUUGGGCACAGACUUAGUUUAGGAUGCAUUGGAUAAGGUGAAAUUUAUUUAGAAGCGGCUUCGCACGAUGCAGUCAAGAUAAAAGAGUUAUGCCGACAAAAAGGUUCGUGAUGUAUCUUACAUGGUUGGGGAGAAGGUUUUGCUAAAGGUUUCACCUAUGAAGGAUGUUAUGAGGUUUGGGAAGAAGGGAAAGUUGAGCCCUCGGUUUAUUGGGCAGUUUGAGGUGCUUCGGAGGAUUGGGGAGGUGGCCUACGAGCUUGCUUUGCCACCUAGCCUGUCGGGUGUGCAUCUAGUAUUUCAUGUUUCUAUGAUCCGGAAGUAUAUUGGCGAUUCGUCUCAUGUUUUGGAUUUCAGCAUGGUUCAGUUGAAUAGUGAUUUGACUUAUGAUGUGGAGCCGGUAGUUAUUUUGGAGCGUCAGAUUCAAAAGUUGAGGUCAAAGGAUAUAGCAUCUGUGAAAGUGCAGUGAAGAGGUCAGCCCGUGGAAAAGGCUACUUGGGAGACUGAGCGGGAGAUGCGGAACAGAUAUCCACACCUAUUUGAGACUUUAGUUAUGUUUCUAGACCAGUUCGAGGACGAAUGUUUGUUUAAGAGGGGGGGAUGUAAUGACCCAGCCAGUCGUUUCGAGAGUUAUGGCCCAGUUUCCCCCAUUUCCUAGUUCUUUUGUGUUCUUCAGCUAUAUUUUUACUUACCGGGUUAGUUGGUUCGGGUCUGGAGUGGUUUUGGAGUGAAUUGAGAAUGUUUGUUUAAGAGGGGGGGAUGUAAUGACCCAGCCAGUCGUUUCGAGAGUUAUGGCCCAGUUUCCCCCAUUUCCUAGUUCUUUUGUGUUCUUCAGCUAUAUUUUUACUUACCGGGUUAGUUGGUUCGGGUCUGGAGUGGUUUUGGAGUGAAUUGAGACACUUAGUCUCUUAUUUGAAAGCUUAAGUUGGAAGAAUUGACCGGAUAUUGACUUAUGUGUAAACGACAUCGGAUUUGAAUUUUGUCGGUUCUGUUAGCUCCGUUAGGUGAUUUUAGACUUAGGAGCGCAUUUGGAAUGUGAUUUGGAGGUCCGUAGUGGAAGUAGACUUGAAUUGGAAAAAGUUAGAAUUUUGGCGAUUUUGGUCAGCAGUGAAAAUUUUGAUAUCGGGCUCUGAUUGGAUUUCAGGAAGUUGGAGUAGGUUCUUGGUGUUAUUUUCGACUUGUGUGCGAAAUUUCAAGUCAUUCAGAUAUGAUUUGAUAUGUUUUGGCCUUGUUCGUAGAAUUUGAAAGUUUCGAAGUUCAUUAGGCAUGAAUUCGUGUGUAAUUCGUGUUUUUUAUGUUGUUCGAGAUGAUUUGAUGAUUGGAAUAAGUUUGUAUGAUGUUGUGGGAUAUGUUGGUAUGUUUGGUUGAGGUCCCGAGGGCUUCGGGGAGAUUCUGGAUGGUUAGCGAAAGGUUUGGAGUUUAUCAAAUGCAGCUGAAGCUGUUGGUUCUGGUGUUUCCGCACCUGCGGUGGGGAGUCCGCAGGUGCAAUCCCGCAGAAGUGACUGAGGAGCCGCAGAUGAAGCCAAGAAGGAGUUUGGCAUAGUCCGCAGGUGCGAAGAGAUUCCCGUACCUGCGAGAGUCGCAGAUGCGGGCAGAAAUGCGCAGAGGCGAGAUGGAGCCGCACGUGCGAGGUUGUUUCCGUACCCGCGAUGAUUGCAGAUGCGGCCUUUAAGUGAUUUAAGUGUUUUUCCGUAGAGGACUUCGGGAAUUCUUCUCAUUUUCACAUUUUUGAACUCGGGUUUUAGAGAUUUUGAAGGGGAAUUCGAGGUUUAUCACUGAGGUAAGUUUCUUGAGCUUAACUAUCCUUAGUAAUGAUAUUUUCCCGUUGAUUUUUCCCUUAAUUAGUGAGGUUUUGAAGUGAAAAUUGGGGGUUAGGGCUUGGGAAUUUGGAGAGUGAACUUUGGGGUUUUAAUUGACCAAAUGAGGUCGUAUUUUGGUAAUUUUGGUAUGGUUUGACUCGUGAGUGAAUGGGAUUUUUGGUUUUGUAACUUUUGUCGAAUUUCGAAACGUGGGCCCAGGGGUCGGGUUUGAGCCGAUUUUGGAUUUUGGCUAUGAAUUAGUGUUUUUCUUAUGAAAUUGAUUCCUUUAGUCUAUAUUCAUCGUAUUGUAUUACUUUUGGCUAGAUUCAAGGUGUUCGGAGGCCGAGUUGAGAGGCAAGGGCAUUGCGAAGCAGAAUUUUGCUCGGUUUAAGGUAACGCUUUCAAAGUUGGUUCUGAGGGUUCAAAACCCCGAACUACGUGUUAUGUGGUUAGUAUUGAGGUGACGCACAUGCCAAGUGACGGGUGUGCGGGCGUGCACCGUGAGAAUCAUGACCCGGUUCAUUCCAUGGCACCGUUUAAUGACUCUUUCUUGUUGAUAUCUGUGUUUCUAUUAUGUGAUAAAGUAAUUGAGCUGUAAACAUGCUAGAUAUCAUGUUAAGGCUUCACGUCGAUACUGUUGCUAUAAUCUAACUGAUUUCACUGUUGUUUUAUACUCAGUAAUAUUCAUGCAUUUCAUAUCAUAUCUCAGUCUCAGUUGUUAUUAUUGGCAUUGCAUAUCAUUAUUUCCGGGCUAGUUUUCAUUACGCUGUGAGCCCGUGGGUAAGACUGGAGAGUGAUCAUUGAGUGAGGCCGAGAGCCUGAUUAUGAGUGACAGUUAUGGGAUCGGGCUACACGCCGCAGUGGUUAUAUUGAUUUGUGAUAGCGCUUGGGCUGUAGGAGCCCCUUCGGAGUUUGUAACACACCCCGAAUGAGCGCGGAUGAUAUUAUUGAGGGAUGAAUUUCUCUGGACAUGGAUUUGUUCGAAGUAUUGAUAUCUGGAGAUGGAUUUCUCCACAAGGUUGGAUUACCCUUUUUCUCGGUACCGGGUGACUUAUAGUCAAUGACGAGUAUGUUCCGGGAUGGAAUUUCAUGGGCCGGAUAGCCAUAUACUGUACCAAGUGGUUGAGUAUUUAUAUAUGCCUGGAGAUGGAUUUCUCCACAGGGUUGGAUUGCCCUUUUUCCUCAGUACUGAGUGACUUACAGUCAGUGUUGUAUAUGUUCUGCGAUGGAUUUCCCUAGGCCGGAUGGCCAUAUUCAGUACCGAGUGGUUGAGCACUUGAGAGUGGGAGUACAUUGUACAUUUCAUAUAGUCGGUGCAUUGGUAUGUAGAGGUAGUAGAGUUAUAUAUUUUAACUAUUUAGAUCUGUAAUUACCUUAUUGUUUUGAGUUGUCUAUUUAACUAAAAGCAUGCCUACAUUUAUGUACGUUGUCUCUAUUAUAUCUGUUGAGGUUGAGUUCGUCACUACCUUUCAGUCCAUAGUUUUGACUCGUUAUUUACUGAGUUGGUGUACUCGCGUUACUCCUUGCACCUUGUGUGUAGAUCUAGGCACUUUUGGUCCCAGUGGCAGUCGUUGAUCGAGGCUUCAGACUUAGGAGACUAUCGAGGUAUCUGCGCGGCGUUCACAGGCCUUA
rnacentral:lncRNA from 1 species